GAUCCAGCAAUGCCGCGUGAGUGAUGAAGGGCCUUCGGGUGUAAAGCUCUUCGCACGCGACGAUGAUGACGGUAGCGUGAGAAGAAGCCCCGGCUAACUUCGUGCCAGCAGCCGCGGUAAUACGAAGGGGGCUAGCGUUGUUCGGAAUUACUGGGCGUAAAGGGCGCGUAGGCGGUGUGUCAAGUCAGGCGUGAAAGCCCCGGGCUCAACCUGGGAACCGCGCUUGAGACUGGCACGCUAGAGUUCGGGAGAGGAUGGUGGAAUUCCCAGUGUAGAGGUGAAAUUCGUAGAUAUUGGGAAGAACACCGAUGGCGAAGGCAGCCAUCUGGACCGACACUGACGCUGAGGCGCGAAAGCGUGGGGAGCAAACAGGAUUAGAUACCCUGGUAGUCCACGCCGUAAACGAUGAGUGCUAGACGUCGGGGGUCCUCAGGGCUUCGGUGUCGCAGCUAACGCGUUAAGCACUCCGCCUGGGGAGUACGGCCGCAAGGUUA
rnacentral:rRNA from 1 species